AUGUACAACGCGUCCACUGCGGUUCUGAGCGCUGCGUCCGCGCCCACCUGACAGCGGCUCGCUACGUUUUGUUAGCC
rnacentral:sRNA from 2 species